UUGUAUCUAUCCGGCAGAACACGCAUUGGGUGAACAUUUCAGAAGAGGUGUCACUCUUGAAGAUGGAGAAAGGCCUGUCACAUCUUUCGCACUGACAUGGGAUAUUUUAAAAGAGCAGAAAGGAGGUGCUGGUCAGAGGUGAUCCAGGCAUGCCAUUAGAAUUCUCCCAGCUACCUUGAGCUGGGGCAAGGCAAGGGUUCCCCUCUCUGGAAUCUCUUUUUGGUUUGUUUGUUUGUUUUUGUUUUUGUUUUUGAGACAGAGUCUCACUUUGUUGCCCAGGCUGGAGUGCAGUGGCACCAUCUAGGCUUACUGCAACCUCCGCCUCCCAGGUUCAAGCAAUUCUCCUGCCUCAGCCACCCGAGUAGCUGGGAUUACAGGCGUGCACCACCACAUCCUGCUAAUUUUUGUAUUUUUAGUAGAGAUGGGGUUUCUCCAUGUUGGCCAGGCUGGUCUUGAACUCCUGGCCUCAAGUGAUCCACCCACCUUGGCAGCCCAGAGUGCUGGGAUUACAGGCGUGAGCCACUGGGCGCAGCCCCUCUCUGGAAUCUCUAACCCCACAAAGGCGGAAAUUGCAGAGAGAAUGAGCACAGGCUGCUUCCCCACCAAUGGCUAAGCAGGUCCUGCCAGCUCAUGUCUCCUGCCAGCUCAUGUCUCCUGCCAGCUCAUGUCUCCUGCCAUGGGGGUCCUGAGGACAUGCGUGGCAAGCCCCUUGACAGUUGGGAGGAUGGGGGUGAGUGUCCCGCCCCAUCCAUUGUUCUGUGCCGAGUAAAAUUGUGGGACUAAGAGGAUGACUCCCUGACAUCCUGAGAACACCCAACUUUUACAGAACCAUGAGACGCAAGUAGGCAAGAUUUCUGAACAAAGCAGGGGUGUGAAGCAGAUUGAUGCAGGUGCUAGGUGCCCUCCUGCGUCCCUGAGCCUGUUUCUGGCCAAAGCUCACAGAGUACACUGAAAACAAAUGGCACAGCUCACCCAUCACGUCUGCUUCCCACUAACAAGCAAGAGUGCCAUGGGAUGAGGUCUCCUAGGCCAUGGGCAGAGGCCCCUCAGGGGUUCCCACCAUGCAUGGUCCCCUGGAGAAGAGCCUGCAAGGUGGCCGCGCCCCUGCCCUGGCUCUCCCAGCCCCUGGGCUUUGCUGUUCUGCCCACUCCAGGACACUGAGGCCUGCUGGAGAGGGGGGUAAACCCUACCUGGGGCAGGCCUCGGGGAAGCCUGGCCUCAGGCUUCUCAUGUUGAUUGAUUCAGAGCAAGUCAAAUGCAGCAGGCUCAUCCUUGCUUCAGCUUCAGUUUCACCAAAUAAAGCAAUGGAAGGUCACCGUCAGUCAGUGACAAGUGGCUAUUCCUAUGGCAGACUGAAGAUACAGGGAGCCCGCACACCCUCACCUUUGAUGACGGAAACGGUGGUGAUGUUCUCGGCGUCCAUUAUGCAGAUUCCAUGAUCCACGUCGAAGCCUGAGACCACGUAUUUACCAUCAGGAGAAAACUUACAGGAGACGAUGAAGUGUAAGACGAGGGAAAGGUCACCUGCUGCUGUCGCCGGUGAUGCUGCACUCUACAACAGGAGCUUUGGGCCUGUGCUCAAAAUCGCGAACCACAGAACCGUCCACCGGAUCCUCAAAUCAACGGGAGAGAGAGGAGAAGAGAGUGGUCACUGCCGUGUUUGCUGAAGUCGUAAAUCGAGGUCAACAUUAGCCCUUAGCUUAUCUCUGGUAGCAAAAUCUGAGAACUCCAAGGUCCUGGGACUCUCACUCAGCUCCGAAAGAGGAAAGGACUUUGCAACAUGUCCGUCCCCUGAGCGGGAAGGACACCCUUGCCAUUCCUGGCAUCCAUGGGAAAUUACCCCGCAAUUCCAGACACCAGGUGGAAACUGGCCAUGCUGGGGGCAGAGCUGCAAACAGAUUGUGUUUUCCUUUCCUACUGGCCAAAAAGUCUUUGCAGAAUCUAGCAAUAUCUUCCAGGCCGGGCGCGGUGGCUCACGACUGUAAUCCCAGCACUUUGGGAGGCCGAGGUGGGUGGAUCACCUGAGGUCAGGAGUUCAAGACCAGCCUGGCCAACAUGGUGAAACCUCGUCUCUACUAAAAAUAUGAAAAUUAGCUGGGUGUGGUGGCGCGCGCCUGUAGUCCCAGCUAUUCAUGAGGCUGAGGCAGGAGAAUCGCUUGAACCCGGAAGUCGGAGGUUUCAGUGAGCUAAGAUUGCGCCACUUCAUUCCAGCCUGGGCGACAGAGCGAGACACCGUCUCAAAAAGAAAAGAAAAUGAUCGUCUUGGGUUGUGGGAUCCAGGCCCCUGCACGCACUCUGGGCGGGCCGGGGCCAACUGAGGGCAGCGCCAGAAUGAUCAGUGUCCGUGGGGCUGCGCAGUUUUAGACUCGACAGUGACACCAAGUGGCCAAGAGCAGGAACAGCGGCUGUGCAGAGAUCGGCCCACUCCCUCCACACUGGGCAUUUAGAAGCACGACCCCAUCCCUGUGGACCCAGACAAUUUAAAGGGGAAAUACUGGUUAGACUUCAAAUGAACGAGGGAAAGGGGGUCUAAUAAACAGUUGGAAAAUAAAGGAGAUGUGACAAUAUUUGGCGUCUACGUUUAUGGUGAGUACAUAUCA
rnacentral:lncRNA from 10 species